AAGCCAUGGAGGGACGGCAGAUGGAGUCAACAGUUGCUGAAUUCUACUUUCCAUUGAAGGAUGAUCGUGCAAGUCUGAUUUGACAUCUCUACGAAAUUGGUGGACGACUGAUUCGACAUCUUUAACAAACUUAUGGAUGGGU